GCGAGUGAAGCGGCAACAGCUCAAAUUUGAAAUCUGGCCCUCGGGUCCGAGUUGUACUUUGCAGAGGAUGCUUUUGGCGAGGCGUCGCCCAAGUCCCCUGGAACGGGGCGCCGGAGAGGGUGAGAGCCCCGUACGGUCGGCAGCCGAGCCUGUGCAAAGCUCCUUCGACGAGUCGAGUAGUUUGGGAAUGCUGCUCUAAGUGGGAGGUAGACCCCUUCUAAAGCUAAAUACCGGCCAGAGACCGAUAGCGCACAAGUAGAGUGAUCGAAAGAUGAAAAGCACUUUGAAAAGAGGGUUAAACAGCACGUGAAAUUGUUGAAAGGGAAGCGCUUGCGACCAGACGUGCGCCGGGGUGCUCCGUGGGCGUUCUCGCCUGCGUACUCGCCCCGGCGCAGGCCAGCGUCGGUUCGGAUGGGGGGAUAAAGGCGCCUGGGACGUGGCUCCUCCGGGAGUGUUAUAGCCAGGUGUGUCAUGCCCCCGCCCGGACCGAGGUUCGCGUUCUGCAAGGACGCUGGCGUAAUGGUCCCCAGCGGCCCGUCUUGAAACACGGACCAAGGAGUCGAGGUUUUGCGCGAGUGUUUGGGUGACAAACCCGCACGCGUAAUGAAAGUGAACGCUGGUGGGAGCUUCGGUGCACCACCGACCGAUCCUGAAGUUUACGGAUGGAUUUGAGUACGAGCGCAGGGCCUCGGACCCGAAAGAUGGUGAACUAUGCUUGGAUAGGGUGAAGCCAGAGGAAACUCUGGUGGAGGCUCGCAGCGGUUCUGACGUGCAAAUCGAUCGUCAAAUCUGAGCAUGGGGGCGAAAGACUAAUCGAACCGUCUAGUAGCUGGUUACUGCCGAAGUUUCCCUCAGGAUAGCAGUGUUGAUCUCAGUUUUAUGAGGUAAAGCGAAUGAUUAGGGACUCGGGGGCGCUUUUCAGCCUUCUCCAUUCUCAAACUUUAAUAUGUA
rnacentral:rRNA from 1 species